rnacentral:rRNA from 1 species
CGGGUGAGUAAUGCUUGGGAAUCUAGCUUAUGGAGGGGGAUAACUACGGGAAACUGUAGCUAAUACCGCGUAAUAUCGAAAGAUUAAAGUGUGGGACCUUCGGGCCACAUGCCAUAGGAUGAGCCCAAGUGGGAUUAGGUAGUUGGUGAGGUAAAGGCUCACCAAGCCGACGAUCUCUAGCUGGUCUGAGAGGAUGACCAGCCACACUGGAACUGAGACACGGUCCAG